GGUCUGAGGAGGAAGACUUCAAAGCAGAUUGACAUGAGAGACUGAAAAGCCCUGAGAAAACUGGGAAUGAAAGAACACACAGCACCCAAACACAUUUUGUGCUCCUUCAAUCCAGGAACGAAGACGUGAUUGCUUGGUCGCUCAGAUGGAUCGUCUUAGUGC